rnacentral:rRNA from 1 species
GACGAACGCUGGCGGCGUGCCUAAUACAUGCAAGUAGGACGCAGUUGCGAACGUGUGAGUAACGCGUAGGUAACUGCCUAUUAGCGGGGGAUAACUAUUGGAAACGAUAGCUAAUACCUCAUACUAGUAUAUGGACCUGCGUUGUAUUAGCUAGUAGGUAGGGUAAUGGCCUACCUAGGCAACGAUCCAUCGCCGACCUGGACGGGGGAGCGGACACCCUGGGACUGAGACACGGCCCAGACUCCGACGGGAGGCAGCAGGAGGGAAUCUUCGGCAAUGGGGGGAACCCUGACCGAGCAACGCCGGGUGAGGGAAGAAGGUUUUCGGAUCGUAAAGCUCUGUUGUUAAGGAAGCGGUACUUAACCAGAAAGGGACGGCUAACUACGUGCCAGCAGCCGCGGUAAUUC